UCGAAGGGGUUGGAGGCGAAGAGAGGCAUGGUGGCUAUUAUAAUAAUGGCGGCGAACGGCGAACCCUCCGGGGCGCUCGGGCCCGGCUGCUGCCCCCAGGUUUAUCCCAGCGUCGCCGUUUCCGAAGGGAGGAGACGAAGAGAGGAAGGAACAGGCAGGCAGUUCGUUGGGCACCCUGCGACUGUUGGUCCUUGAACAGAAGACCCAUCUCGCAGAGCCUCACGGAUCGGUUUGAUAGAACCUCCAAAGCUGCACAAAGGAAGGAAAGGAGAGACUGUUCCAUCUGGCAACCCCAAAUAUUUCCCAUGGCGGAUUGAUUGCCUUAGCACAAUGUUGAAUUCCACCCACUGCUAUUUUUAAUGAAUGCUUUAUACCAUUUCAUGUAAACUGUUUAGAGCAUAUGCAUUUAUAGUAGUGCAUAAAUCUUGCUAAGCUUUAUAUAGUUUCAUUUCACAGAUCCAAGAACAUGCAUUCAUAGCCAUGCAUCCAUUUCUGGAGAGGGCUUGGCUAUGAGCUUAAAUGUAAUACCUGUGAGAACAUGAUACCUAACCGUAUGUGAAAGCGGGCGAGCAUGUCUAAGAAUCCCAAUGCCUUUCUGAAUGAUCUGGAGGACUUUGAUCCAAACCUAAACAUGUUUAAUGUUACAGCUUUCAGCUUAAGCCCUGCUGUGAAGGUUUGACAGAGCUACAGGAUUUGCAGAAGUAUUACCGGAGUCUAUGUCAACAAAAGUUUGAUUACUUGUCUCUAACUAGCAGGCUUAUUCACUCAACAGCCAGUUACAGAGCUAGUUGUCCUGCAUCUUGUUACACGCACUUAACAUGUGGUAAAUAAGCAACACAAAUCAUGAAUCUGCUUGGGCAUGGAAUCAGCUAUGGCAAAGGAGAAGAAAACUGUUCAUGGAAAGAAAAUAUUGGCUACACAGGGCACUUUUUCUGCCCAAGAGUCGCUGAUGAAAAUGACAACUGUACCAGCAAGGGCAGCAGUAUUCACUUCCACAUUAGUGAAUUCCUGGGCUUUAGAUCCAGUAAUGGUAUUUUUAAAAUUAUAUUAUGCUCUCUAACUUUAAUAAAUAGUGCUGUUGGCGUCCAGUUUAUUAAAAACAUCCAUCCUUAUUUCUUUGACUUGUUAGUCUCUCUGCACAAAAAUGUGUUCAUUGUCAUUUCUGUAUUUCAGAUUCCAAUAAAAUUACAUUUGUUUGAGUGA